GCCUAGCUUGCUAAGCUUGUUUUUAGUGGCGCACGGGUGAGUAACACGUGAGUUACCUGCCCCCAAGAGUGGGAUAGCCCCGGGAAACUGGGAUUAAUACCGCAUAAUAUCGCAAGAUUAAAGGUGCAAACCGCUUGGGGAUGGGCUCGCGGCCUAUUAGUUAGUUGGUGAGGUAACGGCUCACCAAGGCGAUGACGGGUAGCCGGUCUGAGAGGAUGUCCGGCCACACUGGAACUGAGACACGGUCCAGACACCUACGGGUGGCAGCAGUCGAGAAUCAUUCACAAUGGGGGAAACCCUGAUGGUGCGACGCCGCGUGGGGGAGCGAAGGUCUUCGGAUUGUAAACCCCUGUCAAGUGGGAGCAAAUUAAAAAGAUAGUACCACUAGAGGAAGAGACGGCUAACUCUGUGCCAGCAGCCGCGGUAAUACAGAGGUCUCAAGCGUUGUUCGGAAUCACUGGGCGUAAAGCGUACGUAGGCGGCUUGGUAAGUCGUGUGUGAAAGGCAGGGGCUCAACCUCUGGACUGCACAUGAUACUGCCAGGCUAGAGUAAUGGAGGGGAAACCGGAAUUCUCGGUGUAGCAGUGAAAUGCGUAGAUAUCGAGAGGAACACUCGUGGCAAAGGCGGGUUUCUGGACAUUAACUGACGCUGA
rnacentral:rRNA from 1 species